UUGCUUUUCGCCGGGACGAGACCGCGUGUUAAUUCUAUACCGUUGAAGGUAUCACUUUGGCCAGAGCUAACUAGACAGUUGAUGAGGACCGUUGUCAGGACCGUGAAAUUUAUAAAGAAUUUUUUCAAGGAAGAAGUAAUAAUUUGUAGACGUAUUGUCUAACUACGUGUAGAAGUACGAAAAAAUUCAUAGCUACGUGCUUGGUACUAACAGAUGCUGUGAAAAAGCGGUACAAAAAUAUUGAUGAUCGUGUCAUUGAAAGUACAAUAAUUGAUUGGUUCCGGCGAGCAUCGGAUAGGAUUCCGAAGGUUUGCAAUGAGGCGAAAUAAUUUCUAUCGAAGUUAAUUUAUCUACGAUUUUCUAUCUCGUACGAACCGCUGUGGUUCAAGAAGAAGCAAGAUCCGUACACGGACAGUCGUUGUUUCGUUUAUAAUAUUGGGAUCACAAGAGCAGAGGUGACUGCGGUUGCGAUGUCCAAACAUAUUUUAGUUUGUUAUAUAGAUAGAUUUUAUUGUGUGAUGUGACUUUGUCACAUACACAUGCAGUGUGCAGAGAAAUUUUGGAUCGUUUAAAAGUGACGGUAGCCGAGACUAGAAGUCGCGACCGUUCGCGGUCGAGACUUUAAAUGCUUAUGAAAUAACGUUGACGUGAUAAUGGGGUUGUUAUGGGAUAUGGUUUAGCAAUUAAUUCUUCCAAUGAAGUGGACGAAACUUGUUGGCAACUCUGACAUGUGCAAUGUGUAAUUUGUACUUGCAUGUCAUCGCCAUCGCCUAUUCUUUAACUCUUCUACCUCUGUCCCUUUCCUCCCCCUUUUUUCUUCCCUGUCUUUCUUUUCGUCUCUUCUUUUCUCUAGUACUGUAGUAAUAUUUAGUCCAACGUGAUGUUUGAUUAACAUGCGCUUGCGUGCUCUUUUUUUUUUAAGAUUUUGCGCUGAAUUAAUGAAUAGUCAAUCUUGAAUUUUUCAGUUCGAUUUGUAAGUGCGUUUUAUUAUACAUAUUAGGUAUAUGUAUGAGUUUGUAAAAAAUUGAAACUCUCAGGCAAGUCGAAUGAAUUCCAGAUAUUAUUUUUAGCCUAAAACUGAGAGAUAGCAAUAAGACCGUAUAGAAAAGAAAAAACCUAUUGUCAUUAGAGAGAAAGGAUUUCGAAGUUACAUGUUUCACUUUAUAAUAUAUUCAGUAUUCUCAACUUAUUUUUAAACGAAUAUGAAUCUAGUUUUCUAGAAAUUAAUCCGAGUUUAAGUUAUACCGCACUCAAUCGGUGCUGCUAUAUAUACGAAAAUUGUGUGUAUUUUAUUAUUUUUAAUCCAUUAUUGAAAGUAUUUGUGUAAACGCAGAUAGAUGUGCAAUGAGGAAUAGAAUCGAGCCGACAUUUGACAUGAAUUAAUAUAAAAGAUGCGCUGAUUUUUCUUUUAUAUAUGAUCUUUUACAUCAUUUUUAUAGAAAUAAAGAACACCUCCAUCUUAAGAAGCCAAUUGAACUUCGAUACGCAUCGGUAUUUGUAAUUUUUCCCUUGUUGCACACUUUCUGCUUGACCUAGUGUCACAACAAAGAAAGCCUGAAAAAUAUUCAUAAAGUGGAAAAAUAAAUCCUUACGGUAUUGUACGUGAAUUCGAAGAUCCGUGCAACUGCACACGUUUAAAGGUUUAUUCAGUGAUUUAUGAAUACGCGCGCGCGAGAAGAUAGACAUUUGUUCAACAUUUUACACACGUAAUAUAACGCCGACGACGAUGAUGCUUCCAAGUUUGGCCAGCGUUGUUCUAUGGAAAAAAGAAGGAAAAAAAAAGAAAUUAUGCCAUUUCACGUCCGCACAGAUUUCAAGCACGCUAGAAGCUACGCUCUGAGUUUUCAAUCAAUUUUAGAAGUGUUUGGAAACAUCUAGUUAUUUUUUAUCAAAAUGUUUUUAUUUGAAAAUGGAACGCACAAUAAAAUAGGGUUUAAUUUCUUGCCUUUGAUAACAAGAAUUUAAUAUGGCCGUGAUGACUAUCCAUGAGUCUUAAAAAUGAGGAACUUUCUUUUUUUAUGCUUCUUUUACCUAUAUGGUUCUAUAUGCAGAACAUAGUCAAUAGUUCUUGUAAUAAAUGUUUGUGUUGGGGAUUCCCCCAAUUUAGCAAUGUAAAAAUUAUAUCUUAAACCGUUAUAUGUACUGCGAUAUACGUUUCGUUUGCUUCUCACGCAAAAUGCGCGAUAAGUUCGGAACCGCCGGAAGAAGCCGAGCCGCGCCGAAGGCGAGCGCGUGUCAGCAUCCCUACGCGGCUCGCCCGACCGUCGGCCUCCCUUCCAACGAACCCGCCGCGCCGCGGUAUAUAAGCCGGCGCUCCGACAGGAGCAGGCACUUCGUCUUAUCUCCGGCUCUCUGCUGCCUUCGACGAAGCCUACCCUAUCCAACUUCCUAGGGCGACACAUAAAACGAGGUCCGGUGCUCCGAGUCUUGACUGAGUGCUCUCAGGUGUCCCCGAACUCCAGCCUACCAAACCGACGAUCACGAUUUCGCGGGGUCGAGCACGCUCGGUCUCGUAGCGAGCCCUCUCGCUGUCGUGGCCCCGGUGCUUCGUUUUCUGCCGUAUCCACCUACCGCGUCUCUGUAGGCAUCGGACGUUAGACCGCGUUUCGCAACUCCGUCACACCGCGACAAUUGCAUCCGCGAUACCGUCUAUCGUUUCUACCGCUUUUCUGUGCGCACGUUAUGUAAAUCGCAUUUCAAAACUACGCAUACUACAAGUCACAGCGCGCCGAGUGCAUUCGCACUAAUUUCUCUGUACAUUUCGCGUUUCGUCAGUUUUGUUCUAUUAUAUCGAAUAAAGU